GUGCCAGCAGCCGCGGUAAUACGUAGGUCCCGAGCGUUAUCCGGAUUUAUUGGGCGUAAAGCGAGCGCAGGCGGUUAGAUAAGUCUGAAGUUAAAGGCUGUGGCUUAACCAUAGUACGCUUUGGAAACUGUUUAACUUGAGUGCAGAAGGGGAGAGUGGAAUUCCAUGUGUAGCGGUGAAACGCGUAGAUAUAUGGAGGAACACCGGUGGCGAAAGCGGCUCUCUGGUCUGUAACUGACGCUGAGGCUCGAAAGCGUGGGGAGCAAACAGGAUUAGA
rnacentral:rRNA from 1 species